GGGGAUUUAGCUCAGUGGUAGAGCGCUUGCCUAGCAAGCACAAGGUGCUGGGUUCGGUCCCCAGCUCUG
rfam:Rattus norvegicus chromosome 13, whole genome shotgun sequence.